GACGAACGCUGGCGGCGUGCUUAACACAUGCAAGUCGAACGGAAAGGCCUCUUUCGGGGGGUACUCGAGUGGCGAACGGGUGAGUAACACGUGAGUAACCUGCCCUUGACUUUGGGAUAACUUCAGGAAACUGGGGCUAAUACCGGAUAGGAGCUCCUGCUGCAUGGUGGGGGUUGGAAAGUUUCGGCGGUUGGGGAUGGACUCGCGGCUUAUCAGCUUGUUGGUGGGGUAGUGGCUUACCAAGGCUUUGACGGGUAGCCGGCCUGAGAGGGUGACCGGCCACAUUGGGACUGAGAUACGGCCCAGACUCCUACGGGAGGCAGCGGUGGGGAAUAUUGCACAAUGGGUGGAAGCCUGAUGCAGCAACGCCGUGUGCGGGAUGACAGCCUUCGGGUUGUAAACCGCUUUCGCUCAUGACGAAGCUUUGUGUGACGGUAGUGGGUAAAGAAGCACCGGCUAACUACGUG
rnacentral:rRNA from 1 species